rnacentral:rRNA from 1 species
GGGGAAUAUUGCACAAUGGGGGAAACCCUGAUGCAGCGACGCCGCGUGGAGGAAGAAGGUCUUCGGAUUGUAAACUCCUGUUGUUGAGGAAGAUAAUGACGGUACUCAACAAGGAAGUGACGGCUAACUACGUGCCAGCAGCCGCGGUAAAACGUAGGUCACAAGCGUUGUCCGGAAUUACUGGGUGUAAAGGGAGCGCAGGCGGGCGAUCAAGUUGGAAGUGAAAUCCAUGGGCUCAACCCAUGAACUGCUUUCAAAACUGAUUGUCUUGAGUAGUGCAGAGGUAGGCGGAAUUCCCGGUGUAGCGGUGGAAUGCGUAGAUAUCGGGAGGAACACCAGUGGCGAAGGCGGCCUACUGGGCACCAACUGACGCUGAGGCUCGAAAGUGUGGGUAGCAAACAGGAUUAGAUACCCUGGUAGUCCACACCGUAAACGAUGAUUACUAGGUGUUGGAGGAUUGACCCCUUCAGUGCCGCAGUUAACACAAUAAGUAAUCCACCUGGGGAGUACGACCGCAAGGUUGAAACUCAAAGGAAUUGACGGGGGCCCGCACAAGCAGUGGAGUAUGUGGUUUAAUUCGACGCAACGCGAAGAACCUUACCAAGUCUUGACAUCCUGCGACGAUGCUAGAAAUAGUAUUUUCCUUCGGGACGCAGAGACAGGUGGUGCAUGGUUGUCGUCAGCUCGUGUCGUGAGAUGUUGGGUUAAGUCCCGCAACGAGCGCAACCCUUAUGGUCAGUUACUACGCAAGAGGACUCUGGCCAGACUGCCGUUGACAAAACGGAGGAAGGUGGGGAUGACGUCAAAUCAUCAUGCCCUUUAUGACUUGGGCUACACACGUACUACAAUGGCGUUAAGCAAAGAGAAGCAAGACCGCGAGGUGGAGCAAAACUCAGAAACAACGUCCCAGUUCGGACUGCAGGCUGCAACUCGCCUGCACGAAGUCGGAAUUGCUAGUAAUCGCAGAUCAGCAUGCUGCGGUGAAUACGUUCCCG